rnacentral:tRNA from 1 species
GGAGAGAUGGCCGAGUGGCUGAAGGCGCACGCUUGGAAAGCGUGUAUACGUGAAAGCGUAUCGUGGGUUCGAAUCCCACUCUCUCCGCCA